CAGUCGCCGCGGGAAUACAGGGGGUGCGAGCGUUAAUCGGAUUUACUGGGCGUAAAGCGUGCGUAGGCGGCUUUUUAAGUCGGAUGUGAAAUCCCUGAGCUUAACUUAGGAAUUGCAUUCGAUACUGGGAAGCUAGAGUAUGGGAGAGGAUGGUAGAAUUCCAGGUGUAGCGGUGAAAUGCGUAGAGAUCUGGAGGAAUACCGAUGGCGAAGGCAGCCAUCUGGCCUAAUACUGACGCUGAGGUACGAAAGCGUGGGGAGCAAACAGGAUUAGAUACCCCAGUAGUCCCUGUCUCUUAUAC
rnacentral:rRNA from 1 species